rnacentral:rRNA from 1 species
AGUGAACGCUGGCGGUAGGCCUAACACAUGCAAGUCGAACGGCAGCACAGUAAGAGCUUGCUCUUACGGGUGGCGAGUGGCGGACGGGUGAGGAAUACAUCGGCAUCUACUUUUUCGUGGGGGAUAACGUAGGGAAACUUACGCUAAUACCGCAUACGACCUACGGGUGAAAGCAGGGGAUCUUCGGACCUUGCGCGAUUGAAUGAGCCGAUGUCGGAUUAGCUAGUUGGCGGGGUAAAGGCCCACCAAGGCGACGAUCCGUAGCUGGUCUGAGAGGAUGAUCAGCCACACUGGAACUGAGACACGGUCCAGACUCCUACGGGAGGCAGCAGUGGGGAAUAUUGGACAAUGGGCGCAAGCCUGAUCCAGCCAUACCGCGUGAGUGAAGAAGGCCUUCGGGUUGUAAAGCCCUUUUGUUGGGAAAGAAAAGCAGCAGAUUAAUACCCCGCUGUUCUGACGGUACCCAAAGAAUAAGCACCGGCUAACUUCGUG